rnacentral:rRNA from 1 species
GAUGAACGCUGGCGGCGUGCCUAAUACAUGCAAGUCGAGCGAACAGACGAGGAGCUUGCUCCUUUGACGUUAGCGGCGGACGGGUGAGUAACACGUGGGUAACCUACCUAUAAGACUGGGAUAACUUCGGGAAACCGGAGCUAAUACCGGAUAAUAUUUCGAACCGCAUGGUUCGAUAGUGAAAGAUGGCUCUGCUAUCACUUAUAGAUGGACCUGCGCCGUAUUAGCUAGUUGGUAAGGUAACGGCUUACCAAGGCAACGAUACGUAGCCGACCUGAGAGGGUGAUCGGCCACACUGGAACUGAGACACGGUCCAGACUCCUACGGGAGGCAGCAGUAGGGAAUCUUCCGCAAUGGGCGAAAGCCUGACGGAGCAACGCCGCGUGAGUGAUGAAGGUCUUCGGAUCGUAAAACUCUGUUAUUAGGGAAGAACAAACGUGUAAGUAACUGUGCACGUCUUGACGGUACCUAAUCAGAAAGCCGCGGCUAACUACGUG